rnacentral:rRNA from 1 species
UACAGAGGUGGCAAGCGUUGUUCGGAAUUACUGGGCGUAAAGGGCGCGUAGGCGGUCCCGUCAGUCCCUUGUGAAAUCCCCCGGCUCAACUGGGGAACUGCAAGGGAUACAGCGGGGCUUGAGUUCGGGAGAGGGAAGCGGAAUUCCGGGUGUAGCGGUGAAAUGCGUAGAUAUCAAGAGGAACACCUGCGGCGAAGGCGGGUUGCUGGGCCGACACUGACGCUGAGGCGCGAAAGCUAGGGGAGCGAACGGG